AAAACGCUAUUCCACAACACCACUUCUUCUGGCACGUCAGAGAAAUUAGGAGUUAAAUUUCAAGAGCAUUUGAAGACAAACACAUCCAGAUUAAUACUAUUGUUCAAUAUGGGUCGAUUUGGACGUUUGGUCAUCUUCACUUUCCUCCUUGCACAGAUAGGCCUAUUUCAACUUGAGGGUUUCCUUCUGACUCCGGCAGAACAGAGUGAAAACAGCAAAUGUGAUGGCAUUGCAAACACAAAAUGCACCACUAGUGAAGACUGCAAUAUCCUUGGUUGCAAGCAGUUUAUCUGCAGGGUCACCCAUUGCAUCUUACAGACAGAACAUGACCAUAUGAAUAUCAACUAGUUUGACGAUACUGCAUUUCGGAAUACAAUUUACAAGCACAGAUCGAUAACUUUUCAACAAAGAAAAAGGAACCCAAAACCGCCGACGGAAGAAUCUUGCUGAUGUUGAAGCAACAAAAACACAAACAAUUAUGGCAAGCAAUGGUUUUAUGAUAAUUUUGCGACUUAUCUAAAUUGAUUUCAAAAUAAAUUUAAAGUUUUUGGGGAUAUGAAACGUUUUUAAAUACUAGAAAUAUAUUUUAAAGAGACCCUAUAUAUACAAUCCAAAAAUCAAAUCCAGAAAAUCGUUCUCAAAAUUAUCUCGAAAACAUUUUAAGAUAUCUCAAACCUUUUUGUUUGUUUGGGUGCUUGCUUAAUAUUGGUUUGCUUUUUGUCUGAAUGUUAAUUAUAAAUAAAAGGUGCGGACAACAUAAGUUGUUUACUUGUAACUAAUUUACUAAUUUACAAAAAAUUACAUUAAAAAGAUUGUAAACAUGGUGGAAAUCUUCCCUUCUUCAAGUAAGUUUUAUUGAAAUUACAGUGGCCUUUAGUUUUUCUGAGAAUGAGUAAAAAGUACUGUGUGCUAUCUAUCUUGGGAGUCCAAAACUCGAUGUUUGAGAACAUUGUGAACAAGUUUACAAUGGUCUUCACUAUGUUUUUAUUUAUGCAUAUUUGUUUAUAGAGUGUGCAAGUCUCAAGCAUAUUUAAAAAUUCCAAGACAAGUAUAGCAAUUGUAAUAAGUAUUUUUGUUGUUAUUAAUUAUUUUUUUAAACAAAGAUUAGCUUUACGCAAAACUAAAUUCUUUGUUUGACGUGUUUCUUGUCCCGAUACGCGCCAGAUUUGCACAGUUUAUUAUUGAUGUAUGUAUUUAUUUAUUUACUUAUUUAUUUAUAUAUAUAUACUUUUUUUGUUGCGACUCCGAUUACCAAUAAGUUUAAACUUUCUCAUGUUUUUAUUUCAAAGUGCUAUAGGCUACUGAUCUUGGACAAUACCAAUGUCUGCAUGCUUUAGGUAAACUAAAGAUACCAAUCCAAUACCUGUCCAUUUCAUUGGAUCAGAUAUAUUUCGACAUUGAAGUUCCAAACAUUGCAAUUUUAUUUUAAAGGCACUGAAAACG